GCCUUAGUAGUUUCAUUUAAAACAUCAGUCUUGUAAACUGAAGAUAGAUAUUUUUCGCUCUAAGGCA
rnacentral:tRNA from 1 species